GAAAUCCGCUAAGGAGUG
rnacentral:sRNA from 1 species